CAAGGUUGAGACCCCCUGGAAUGAGUUGCUAGCACCUAUGCUUGUAUGACCCUGCCCUUCGGCUCCUCAGGACACGGCAGACCCAAAGCCCUACACACACAGGAGAGCAUCUCCAAAGUGUGUCAGCCGCAAAGUGUGUCGUUGCCCAAAUGCAAACGCAGAAUUAGAAGAAUCAUGCGAUGUCAGGAAAACUACAGAAAGGUGAACUGGACCGGCAGGCUCAAAGCCUUUUCGUUCAAGGUUCUUUAUCCCUCUUCAGUCGAACUGCAGCGAUUUCACAGGACACUGAUAAGUUCUCGACUCCUGUUCACCUGCUCCAGGCAAUAUCGGCUGGGAUGUGCAGGCUUGAGCUGAAGGAUUUUUUUUUUUUUUUUCUUUUACCCAGGGAUCGCUCCUUUGUUUGAGAGAGAUGCCUCCAGAACACUAAUAAAUGCCGUGCAGCUCCACCUGUUAAAGCAACUGCUCUAUCUUCAGGCUAGGAAGACAAGCUCUUCUGAAGUAGGUAUCAGAGUUAUUACGGUAAAGUUCUGACCUCGGGCUCCAUUGCAUAUGCGAUGUCUCCUGCUUCUGUUGCACGCCCCACCUCUCUCCUUGCUUAUGUGACUUUUACUUGCACCGGCGUCUCCUGGGAUGCUCUUCCUGAACUUCCGCAGUCGGAUUCAGAGCCCUUCUUCGGGGUCCCCCGGGCACCCUGUACUGAUCUGCGUCAUAGCCGGUGACACAGUGUGUCAACAUUGCUACCUGACUCCUCGAUUUCUCUCUCAGCUGAACUCCACGGGGACAGUGACUGUCUCCCUCUUCACUCAUUUCGUUCCCAAGGUCUAGCACGGUACCUGGCGCAUAAAAGAGCAUCAGGAAUUCCUUAUUUACGGGGCAGCUCCAUGGCUCCCGGCCACCCUCCACGAGGUGGUAUUUUUCCUUUUUUUGAGCCAUUUGUUCACCCAUCCAUCGGUCAGAUAUCUAUCGGGCAAAUGGUAGGCGUGGCCCAAGGAUAGGACACGGGGCUUGGUGCCGUUGGCCAUUCAGAAAGGGAUCUGUUGCCUCUUCUCCCCCAGGACCUGAAGACCCAGUGGCUUCUCCUGCCCCCGUUUUGGUUUGUUUUUACACCUCCAGUGCACAAGGCCCGUUCAUGGUAAGCCACGACUACGGACCUCUUCAAGGCUCUUCUCUUGAUUGAUGGAAUGUUUUCCUUUUUCCCCUUUCAUUUGCCCCCUCAUUUUUGGUCCUCUCUGCAGGCAACCAGUUUAACCUGUUUGUGUGCGUUGUGUUCUUUGCCUGUAUUCCUGUAAAACAUGUAUUUCUCUUUGGGGAACAUGUGUUUUCAGUUUAUGCAAAUGGCAUACCGGAAACCUCAUGGUGUUGCUUCCUUUUUCUGCUCUGCCUGGGCACGGGCAUCUGUGUGGCUGUGCGCAGCAUCCCCGUUUGACGCCUCUGUUCCAGUGAUGAGCGCUAGACGGUCUCCAGCUCCCCAUUGCCGCAAGUGUUGUGACUUCCGAAGAGACAAAAUAUCUCAAAUCUUGAGGACCGGGUCCCAACUGCAAUUGACCUGCUCGUUACGACAGGAAGACUAAAGUUCAGGUCGUUUGAUUUACAAGUGUAAUAACCAAGAAGUAAUCAGAUACAAAAACCAAGCAGAAGGGAAAACAAAAAGAAGGCACCCAGCAUUGCAGAGGAUAAGACCUGUCCUCAACUCGGCAGGUGACCGUGGCCAACGCACCCGGGUGUAAAAACAGGACUUCAUCAUUUCCAAGAAUAUCUUUCACUGACUUCUGUUUCUGUUCUCGGUUCUGAGUCUAUACAGAAAAUGGAACCAGUUGGAUGGAAGCUGAAGUUAUUUUGGACUAUUUCAUAAUGGUGCAGAGAACAGGGUAUACCUAAGGUAAGUAGGUGUGUUUUUGAGAUGGCUUCUUAGGGAUGGGUGACCAACGCUCAUGGAGGGUCUUCAUGGGCCUGGUCUUGCCAGAGUCCCGUAGCCACUAAGGGUCCCUUCACUGAGCUGGUCACAGUAAAGAAUAUGUCAGAGAUAGAAAAGGGCUUCAACUCGUUGCCUUUUGAAGCCCAAAGCUGCCUAACAAAGCUUUAUUGAUUCUGCGAAGCAUUCCCUUGAGUAGAGGUAGCAAACUCAUCACUUGCCUUGGCUGGACUUUAACCUCGAUCGUUGUACCUCGAGCUGCAUUCACGCAGAAGCAGCUAGCCAAGCUAAACAUGCCAGUUGGGAAAUGAGUUUCCCAGAACUGGUACUUCAGAGAAUUUCAAGCACGUUCGUGGAGGCAGGAGGUAUAGUUACGGCAGAAGUGAGGGGAGAACAGUUCUCAGGGAGGGUACACGACACGGUAGGGUCUGAGAGUAGCUUUAUUGUGUUUCUCAUAUUUAUUUUUCCAGGAGAUAAGAGGGGUUUCCAUGAGCUCUCCUAGGCUAGUUGGCCUGGCUGAUAACCCUUCUAACGAUCAUUGAAUCCUC